rnacentral:rRNA from 1 species
CUACGGGAGGCUCCAGUGGGGAAUAUUGGACAAUGGGCGAAAGCCUGAUCCAGCAAUGCCGCGUGUGUGAAGAAGGCCUGCGGGUUGUAAAGCACUUUCGGUAGGGAAGAUAAUGACGGUACCUACAGAAGAAGCACCGGCUAACUCCGUGCCAGCAGCCGCGGUAAUACGGAGGGUGCAAGCGUUAAUCGGAAUUACUGGGCGUAAGCGCGCGUAGGCGGUUUGUUAAGUCGGGUGUGAAAUCCCUGGGCUCAACCUAGGAAUUGCAUUCGAUACUGGCAGGCUAGAGUGUGGUAGAGGGAAGUGGAAUUCCAGGUGUAGCGGUGAAAUGCGUAGAUAUCUGGAGGAACAUCAGUGGCGAAGGCGACUUCCUGGACCAACACUGACGCUGAGGCGCGAAAGCGUGGGGAGCAAACAGGAUUAGAUACCCGAGUAGUC